CUGUGAAAGUUAAACAAGGACCGCAGAGGGGGAAAGCAAAUCUGUGGAGCUCGGUGUAGCGGGGGCGGUGGGUGCCCCGCAGCGCCAUGGAUAACAGGUGCUAUGGCUGCGCGUCCAAAUUCACGGUCUUCAAGAAAGAGUGUGGAUGUAAGAACUGCGGACGGGCAUUCUGCUCUGGCUGCCUUAGCUUCAGUGCUGUUGUUCCCCGCUGUGGAAACACUCCGCAGAAAGUGUGCAAGCAAUGUCAUGGAAAACUAACUGGAGAAGGAUCUCAAAGCAGUUCAGCAAAAUGGUCACCACCGGAGAACUACAAAAAGCGUGUAGCAGCUUUUGAGGCUAAGCAAAAUCAGCCGAAAGGGCAGUGGAAGGCAGCUGCGAAACCGGGCCAAGCAGGCUCCAGAUACCAGGGACUCUCAAAAGAGGAUAGAGCUAUUGCAGAGAGACUGGCGAAGCUCAAGGAGGAAAGGAAACCCAAGUCCAUCCCUUCUCAAGCUGAGAUCGAAGCUAGGCUGGCUGCUCUGAAGGAAGACUGCCGGGGACCUGUUCCAUCCACACAGGAAAUGGAGGACCGUUUGGCUGUCCUACAGGGGAGAGACCCUCCUUCCCAGGCUCCCAGACCAAUGCACCAGCCCCCUGAUUCCAGAAGCCUAGCCCAGCAGACAGAUGACCUAUUAACUCAGUUGGCUGAGGAAGUCGCUAUUGAUGAGCGUAACAGUCCAGGAGUCCAGCCUCAAGCUGCUAGGGGCCAAACCUUGAAUGAUCUCAAUCGGGAAAGCGAAGGUGGAGUUUGCCCUGCAAAUCUGGACCCAAAACAGCUAGAAGAAGAGAAGAAUAAACUUCUGGCAGAGGCCGCUUCUGAACUGCGGGAAGAGAACACCAGGCAGGAGAAGAUCCUACAAGUGGCCAAGAGAUUGGCAGCACUCAGAGGCCAGGACCCAGAGAAAGUUACUUUGGAAAACUAUAAGCUCCCUGACAGCGAUGAGGAAGUGGAUGAGGAGGAAGCCAUUCUGAGAGUGCUAAAACAGCUCACAGAGGAAGCAGCCCUGGAUGAAGCAAGUGGCUUCAAUAUUCCUCCAGAUCAGAACACCCAACCAGGACCCUCACAACAGAACCUACCUAAGAAAGCAAAGCAAAAGAGCCAGACUUCAGCCACCAUGGCUCUUGCCAAGUCAGAAGAUAGUGAUGAGGAGGAGUUACCCUGGUGCUGUAUCUGCAAUGAGGAUGCCACUUUGCGCUGCCAUGGCUGUGACGGGGACCUCUACUGCAAGCGCUGCUUUCGAGAAGGCCAUGAUGAGUUUGAUCUGAAGGACCACCACAUCUCCCGCUAUCGUCUUCCUUCUAAACAGAAGUGAUCGCGCUCCUUAUGGGGAGAAAAGGAGAUGGAGAACUGGAAAGGAGAGAGAGUUGGCCAGAUGGGAAGAGUCAAAGUGGUUUUGCAGCCAAAAUGGGUGAUGUCUUGGACAGUUAAAGGACAUGCUGUAAUCUGAGAGAAGCUUGGAGUGUGUGUAACUUUUUGUCCUCAGGAAAACAGCUAGAGGAGUGCUGGGUUUGCAGUGCAUGCAUGGGAUAAAUGAGGACUUGAUGCAAGGAGAUGGAUGACAGGCAGAUAGGAAAGCUACUGAGUUGUUCUGAUGCAAGAGCUGAACAACAAGGCCUGUGUUACACAAAACUGGAUGGAAAGAAAGAAGUCAUGAUGAACUUCAGAGAACUGUAUUUAGUGCUUCUCAGCCAAAAUGGAAAUUCCUAGAAGAAGAAACUAAAGGAAGGGCAUCUUGUCCCAUUCCCCAGGUUAACAUUCCCUUUAAGAAUCAGGAAAACAUAUAAUUCAGCCCCUUGCACGUAGAUCUGGAAGGAGCAGAGACUUCAAACCACUGGUACAAAAUUCACAAACUUGAUGAUGUUUCUCAAUAGCAGUAAGUCCUAAACAUACUCUGAAAUGAUCUUCCUGAUCCUGAUUUUUGCUGGGAGUUGCAUGUUUUCUUGUGAUCGAU